ACAAGUCUCGUUUCUUCAUUCUUUUUGUACAGAGAAAAUUAGUAAUCUUAACCGGAGGAUUCAUUUAUCAAAUUAUUUACAUUAAAGAUAAUAGGAAAGCUUUAAAGAAGGAGACCUUCUACGAUCUCAUAUGAGAAAUUAAGGUAUGUUAAGGAUAAUUCUUCAUUUUUAUGAUUCAAGUGACGAUAUAUAAACGUAAUGAUAUUCCAUAAAUAUUUCUAUUUUAAGUAGUUAAGAAUAUUUAUGUUAUUUAUUUUCUUAAAAUGAUAUUUAAGCAUGUCUAAGUACAUAGCUAGUUUCCUAUUGAGAUAUACGAUAAUGUUCAUAAUAUAAUAAUACAAGCAUCUUCACUCAUAUAAAUUUACCACCAAGUUAUGAUCGGUCAGACAGUCAUACAUUUUCACCGUGCUACGGCUGAUUGGGAAGCUACAUAUUUACCAUCAGUUCUACAGUUAUGUAUCAUUAUUUAUCAUCGAUUGGACAGUUAUAUAUCAUUAUUUAUCACUGGUUGGGAUGUCAUACAUUUACCGAUAUGCGAAAGCGGGUCGGACAGUUACCCCUGAUCAGUUAGGCAGUCAUGCAUAUACAUAUGGAUAAUAGUCUAAAGAGAAGCAUUAUAUGGUGGCACUUUAAAAAUUCAGGCUAAUUUUUAAAUUGUUGGGGACAUAGUGUUUCAUGUCAGGUAUUGACGAUCAGUUUGAUGAUCCCUCAUAGUAGACGAGAUUGGCAUUUAGUGAAGGAUCCGUAAUACUUCACCUCUUUCGGAGUGCAGCCGAUUCUAUGAGUCAUUGUGUCAGAGUUAUGCUACAUAUUUAUGGAUCAGCUGGUACCAUGUUCCAUUUUAUGUUAAAUAAUCUUAGAGGCUUUAUAGACACAGAGACUUAUUAUGUAUAGUAUAUCAGAGGUCUUGACGGUCCAUAUGUAUUUCAUGUUUUAUGAAUAAUAGUUCAUUGAUAUAAUAUUUGCC
rnacentral:lncRNA from 1 species